CCUACGGGUGGCAGCAGUGGGGAAUAUUGGGCAAUGGGCGCAAGCCUGACCCAGCAACGCCGCGUGAAGGAAGAAGGCUCUCGGGUUGGAAACUUCUUUUAUCAAGGACGAAACAAAUGACGGUACUUGAUGAAUAAGACACGGCUAACUACGUGCCAGCAGCCGCGGUAAUACGUAGGUGGCAAGCGUUAUCCGGAUUUACUGGGUGUAAAGGGCGGGUAGGCGGGACUGCAAGUCAGAUGUGAAAACCAUGGGCUCAACCCAUGGCCUGCAUUUGAUACUGUAGUUCUUGAGUGUUGGAGGGGCAGGCGGAAUUCCGUGUGUAGCGGUGAAAUGCGUAGAUAUACGGAGGAACACCAGUGGCGAAGGCGGCCUGCUGGACAAUAACUGACGCUGAGGCGCGAAGGCGAGGGGAGCGAAAGGGAUUAGAUACCCGUGUAGUC
rnacentral:rRNA from 1 species